rnacentral:rRNA from 1 species
CCGGAGCUUGCUCCACCGGARAAAGAGGAKUGGCGAACGGGUGAGUAACACGUGGGUAACCUGCCCAUCAGAAGGGGAUAACACUUGGAAACAGGUGCUAAUACCGUAUAACAAUCRAAACCGCAUGGUUUUGAUUUGAAAGGCGCUUUCGGGUGUCGCUGAUGGAUGGACCCGCGGUGCAUUAGCUAGUUGGUGAGGUAACGGCUCACCAAGGCCACGAUGCAUAGCCGACCUGAGAGGGUGAUCGGCCACAUUGGGACUGAGACACGGCCCAAACUCCUACGGGAGGCAGCAGUAGGGAAUCUUCGGCAAUGGACGAAAGUCUGACCGAGCAACGCCGCGUGAGUGAAGAAGGUUUUCGGAUCGUAAAACUCUGUUGUUAGAGAAGAACAAGGAUGAGAGUAACUGUUCAUCCCUUGACGGUAUCUAACCAGAAAGCCACGGCUAACUACGUGCCAGCAGCCGCGGUAAUACGUAGGUGGCAAGCGUUGUCCGGAUUUAUUGGGCGUAAAGCGAGCGCAGGCGGUUUCUUAAGUCUGAUGUGAAAGCCCCCGGCUCAACCGGGGAGGGUCAUUGGAAACUGGGAGACUUGAGUGCAGAAGAGGAGAGUGGAAUUCCAUGUGUAGCGGUGAAAUGCGUAGAUAUAUGGAGGAACACCAGUGGCGAAGGCGGCUCUCUGGUCUGUAACUGACGCUGAGGCUCGAAAGCGUGGGGAGCAAACAGGAUUAGAUACCCUGGUAGUCCACGCCGUAAACGAUGAGUGCUAAGUGUUGGAGGGUUUCCGCCCUUCAGUGCUGCAGCUAACGCAUUAAGCACUCCGCCUGGGGAGUACGACCGCAAGGUUGAAACUCAAAGGAAUUGACGGGG